rnacentral:rRNA from 1 species
UGCAAGUCGAGCGAACAGAUAAGGAGCUUGCUCCUUUGACGUUAGCGGCGGACGGGUGAGUAACACGUGGAUAACCUACCUAUAAGACUGGGAUAACUUCGGGAAACCGGAGCUAAUACCGGAUAAGAUUUUGAACCGCAUGGUUCAAUAGUGAAAGACGGCCUUGCUGUCACUUAUAGAUGGAUCCGCGCCGUAUUAGCUAGUUGGUAAGGUAACGGCUUACCAAGGCAACGAUACGUAGCCGACCUGAGAGGGUGAUCGGCCACACUGGAACUGAGACACGGUCCAGACUCCUACGGGAGGCAGCAGUAGGGAAUCUUCCGCAAUGGGCGAAAGCCUGACGGAGCAACGCCGCGUGAGUGAUGAAGGUCUUCGGAUCGUAAAACUCUGUUAUCAGGGAAGAACAAACGUGUAAGUAACUGUGCACGUCUUGACGGUACCUGAUCAGAAAGCCACGGCUAACUACGUGCCAGCAGCCGCGGUAAUACGUAGGUGGCAAGCGUUAUCCGGAAUUAUUGGGCGUAAAGCGCGCGUAGGCGGUUUUUUAAGUCUGAUGUGAAAGCCCACGGCUCAACCGUGGAGGGUCAUUGGAAACUGGAAAACUUGAGUGCAGAAGAGGAAAGUGGAAUUCCAUGUGUAGCGGUGAAAUGCGCAGAGAUAUGGAGGAACACCAGUGGCGAAGGCGACUUUCUGGUCUGUAACUGACGCUGAUGUGCGAAAGCGUGGGGAUCAAACAGGAUUAGAUACCCUGGUAGUCCACGCCGUAAACGAUGAGUGCUA